AUACGUAGGUGGCAAGCGUUGUCCGGAAUUACUGGGUGUAAAGGGAGCGUAGGCGGGAAGACAAGUUGAAUGUUUAAACUAUCGGCUUAACCGGUAGACGCGUUCAAAACUGUUUUUCUUGAGUGAAGUAGAGGGAGGCGGAAUUCCUAGUGUAGCGGUGAAAUGCGUAGAUAUUAGGAGGAACACCAGUGGCGAAGGCGGCCUACUGGGCUUUAACUGACGCUGAUGCUCGAAAGCGUGGGUAGCAAACAGGAUUAGAUACCCUGGUAGUCCACGCUGUAAACGAUGAUUACUAGGUGUGGGGGGCCUGACCCCUUCCGUGCCGCAGCUAACGCAAUAAGUAAUCCGCCUGGGGAGUACGGCCGCAAGGUUGAAACUCAAAUGAAUUGACGGGG
rnacentral:rRNA from 1 species